CUUGCUCCCUGAGAUCAGCGGCGGACGGGUGAGUAACACGUGGGUAACCUGCCUGUAAGACUGGGAUAACUCCGGGAAACCGGGGCUAAUACCGGAUAACACCUACCCCCGCAUGGGGGAAGGUUGAAAGGUGGCUUCGGCUAUCACUUACAGAUGGACCCGCGGCGCAUUAGCUAGUUGGUGAGGUAACGGCUCACCAAGGCGACGAUGCGUAGCCGACCUGAGAGGGUGAUCGGCCACACUGGGACUGAGACACGGCCCAGACUCCUACGGGAGGCAGCAGUAGGGAAUCUUCCGCAAUGGACGAAAGUCUGACGGAGCAACGCCGCGUGAGUGAAGAAGGUUUUCGGAUCGUAAAACUCUGUUGUUAGGGAAGAACAAGUGCCGUUCGAAUAGGGCGGCACCUUGACGGUACCUAACCAGAAAGCCACGGCUAACUACGUGCCAGCAGCCGCGGUAAUACGUAGGUGGCAAGCGUUGUCCGGAAUUAUUGGGCGUAAAGCGCGCGCAGGUGGUUUCUUAAGUCUGAUGUGAAAGCCCACGGCUCAACCGUGGAGGGUCAUUGGAAACUGGGGAACUUGAGUGCAGAAGAGGAAAGUGGAAUUCCAAGUGUAGCGGUGAAAUGCGUAGAUAUUUGGAGGAACACCAGUGGCGAAGGCGACUUUCUGGUCUGUAACUGACACUGAGGCGCGAAAGCGUG
rnacentral:rRNA from 2 species